GCUGGGCGUGGUGGCGGGCGCCUGUAGUCCCAGCUACUGGGGAGGCUGAGGCAGGAGAAUUGCUUGAACCUAGGAGGUGGAGGUUGCAGUGAGCUAUCGUGCCACUGCACUCCAGCCUGGGUGACAGAGCGAAACUCUGUCUCAA
rnacentral:SRP_RNA from 1 species